UUGACCUCAAAUCAAGUAGGACUACCCGCUGAACUUAAGCAUAUCAUAA
rnacentral:rRNA from 1 species